GACAGAGGUGCCAAGCGUUAGGCGGAAUCACUGGGCUUAAAGCGUGUGUAGGUGGAUUUGUAAGUACCUUGUGAAAUCCCAUGGCUCAACCAUGGAACUGCUCGGUAUACUGCGAAUCUUGAGCCACUUAGGGGCUACCGGAACAAAUGGUGGAGCGGUGAAAUGCGUAGAUAUCAUUUGGAACGCCAAUGGUGAAAACAGGUAGCUGGGAGUGUGCUGACACUGAGACACGAAGGCCAGGGGAGCGAACGGG
rnacentral:rRNA from 1 species